GAACUACCCCCUCCCUCCCGAAAUAUUUGUUGGAGGAAUGAAUGUAUCUAGACAUAUUUUAGUUCAAAAUACAUCUAGGUUUGUUCAUUUUUGCGACAAAUAAUUUCGGAUGGAGGGAGUAUUUG
rfam:Hordeum vulgare subsp. vulgare, WGS project CAJW01000000 data, contig: morex_contig_234042